rnacentral:lncRNA from 1 species
GUAAGACGUUUAAGAAGCCCCGCCGUCCGUACGAGAAGGAGCGUCUAGACGCGGAGCUGAAGCUGGUGGGGGAGUACGGGCUGCGGUGCAAGAGGGAGCUGUGGAGGGUGCAGUACGCGCUCAGCCGCAUCCGCAACAACGCGCGGAAUCUCCUUACCCUCGACGAGAAGAACCCGCGCCGGAUCUUCGAGGGCGAGGCUCUUCUCCGCAGAAUGUUCCGCUACGGACUCCUCGACGAGACUCAGAACAAGCUCGAUUACGUCCUCGCCCUCACCGUCGAGAAUUUCCUCGAGCGCCGCCUUCAGACGCUCGUCUUCAAAUCCGGGAUGGCCAAGUCCAUUCACCACGCCAGGGUUCUCAUCAAGCAGAG